UAGAAUGUGAGCAGGCACUUUGGGUACUCUAGAUAACCUCAGGGCAAUCGCACAUCCCUGUGACGGCGAUGACGCAUUCAGAUGUCUGCCCUAUCAACUUUCGAUGGUACUUUCUGCGCCUACCAUGGUGACGACGGGUAACGGGGAAUUAGGGUUCGAUUCCAGAGAGGGAGCCUGAGAAACGGCUACCACAUCCAAGAAAGGCAGUA